UGCUGCCCUGCUACCCUGCCUGGUGCCAUGCAGCCCUAGCGACCUGGGAGGCCUGCAGCCCCGUUGCCCUAGGAGGCCUGCAGUCCUGCCACCCUGUUGCCCUACAGCCCUGCUGCCGUACAAGGACUGCAGCCCUGCCGCCCUGCUGCCCUGCCGUACUGCCGCACUUGGAGGCCUAAGGCCCUUCAGCCCUGCCACCCUGCUGCCCUGCAGCCAUGCUGCCCUGCUGCCUUGCUCCUUGGCUGCCCUGGGAGGCCUGUAGCCCUGCUGCCCUGCUCUGCUGCCCUGCAACCCUGCCUCCCUGCUGCCCUGCUGCCCGGCAUCCAAGCCAACCAGCUGCCCUGCGGCCCUGCAGCCCUGACGUCCUGAGAGGCCUGCAGCCCUGACGCCCUGGGAUGCUUGCCGCAUUGCCGCCCUUUGCCCUGAAGCCAGGCGGCCCUGUGAGGCCUGCAGCCCUGAUGCCCUGCGAUGCCUGCAGCCCUGACGCCCUGGGAGGCUUGAAGGUUUGCAGCCCUUUGCCCUGAAGCAGGGUGGCCCUAGAGGCC
rnacentral:lncRNA from 12 species